UCAGUCCUGCCGUGCGCGUGAUGGCGCCAACCGUUUUGAGCCAACACCCAUUUGAGGGGCGUCGAAGACCGGUGUGGAUGCGAUAGGCCUGAGCCAAGGCAAAAACAUCAGGAGAGAUGCCCAACCUGCGAAAGCAGGCUCAACACUACGCGAUCACACGGCAUGGCGGGCUACCU
rnacentral:other from 1 species